GCCGGUGCAAGUCGGCUCAGUCAGACUUGUAAGCGGUAGGUCGUCUGUUCGAGUCAGACUGUCGGCACCA
rnacentral:tRNA from 1 species